GAUGAACGCUAGCGGCAGGCCUAAUACAUGCAAGACGAACGGUAAGUUGAGUAGCAAUACUUAGCCAAGAGUGUCGUACGGGUGCGUAACACGUAUGCAACCUACCCUAUACAGGAGGAUAGCCUAGGGAAACCUGGAUUAACCCUUCAUAGUAUUAUUGGAUGGCAUCAUUUGAUAAUUAAAAACUGAGGUGGUAUAGGAUGGGCAUGCGUCUGAUUAGUUAGUUGGCGGGGUAAUGGCCCACCAAGACGAUGAUCAGUAGGGGUUCUGAGAGGAAGAUCCCCCACACUGGCACUGAGAUACGGGCCAGACUCCUACGGGAGGCAGCAGUAGGGAAUAUUGGUCAAUGGAUGCAAGUCUGAACCAGCCAUGCCGCGUGCAGGAAGAAGGGCCUUCUGGGUUGUAAACUGCUUUGCCAGGGGAUAAAAUUUCCAUGCGUGGAAAACUGAAGGUACCUGGUGAAUAAGCACGGCUAACUACGUGCCAGCAGCCGCGGUAAU
rnacentral:rRNA from 1 species